UACGGAAGAUCCGAGCGUUAUCCGGAUUUAUUGGGUUUAAAGGGUGCGCAGGCGGGAGAUUAAGUCGGCGGUGAAAUUUUGCAGCUCAACUGUAAAAGUGCCUUCGAAACUGGUUUCCUUGAGUGUGGAUGAAGUAGGCGGAAUUUGUGGUGUAGCGGUGAAAUGCAUAGAUAUCACGAGGAACUCCGAUUGCGCAGGCAGCUUACUAAACCAUAACUGACGCUCAGGCACGAAGGCGUGGGGAUCAAACAGGAUUAGAUACCCGUGUA
rnacentral:rRNA from 1 species